rnacentral:rRNA from 1 species
UACACACCGCCCGUCACACCACGGGAGUUGGAGACGCCCGAAGCCGAUUAUCUAACCUUUUGGAAGAAGUCGUCGAAGGUGGAAUCAAUAACUGGGGUGAAGUCGUAACAAGGUAGCCGUAUCGGAAGGUGCGGCUGGAUCACCUCCUUUCUAAGGAGA